GUAGUCUGCAACUCGACUACAUGAAGCUGGAAUCGCUAGUAAUCGCGAAUCAGAAUGUCGCGGUGAAUACGUUCCCGGGUCUUGUACACACCGCCCGUCACACCAUGGGAGUCAGUAACGCCCGAAGCCGGUGACCCAACCAAACGGAGGGAGCCGUCGAAGGUGGGACCGAUAACUGGGGUGAAGUCGUAACAAGGUAAC
rnacentral:rRNA from 1 species